AUAGCCGAGAAAAUGCUCCUUCCAAAUCCAGUCGCUGAUCUUCCGUUGCUCUCUGUAUUCGUAUGUGAUGCCCAAAAGAAGUGACAGUAGGUACGAAAUUGACACCUUAUCUUUGAACAUUCAUAUCUUUUCCAUAAAAACUCGAAAUCAUACAAAAUCUUCAUCCAAAUUAUACCCAAAAUCUUAAACCUUCUGAUCC
rnacentral:lncRNA from 1 species